GAGACCUCUUAUGGGGCAGGACUUGCUUCAGUGGGGCUUUGGUGCUCACUGAGUCUGCCUCCUGAGCGUGUCACU
rfam:Myotis lucifugus cont2.17938, whole genome shotgun sequence.